CAUCUCUACAAAAAAUUAAAACAUAAUAGUAAUUACCCAGGCGUGAUGAUGGACAUAUGCAGUUGUAGCUACCCAGGAGGCUGAGGUGGGAGGAUCACUUGAUCCCAGAGGUUGAGGCUGCAGUGAGCCAUGUUCACACCACUGCACUCCAGCCUGGGUGACAGAGCAAGACUCCGUCUCAAAAUAAAGAAAGAAAUAAAAUAAAACCUUUCUUAGACACCUCCUCAGAAGCCCCGUAUCCUCCUGCUCCCACUGGCCUAGCCAUGCCUCAAGAUCACAGGCUGGUCCUUUCCUUCACCAACACACUGGCAUCCCCCUCUUUGUCUUCAUUCCCACCGAGUCUGAGCCACUCGAGGUCAGGGCCAUGACCGUGAGCUACAGGUCCUCGGCGCCCAGUGUGAGCCGUGUACAGUAGAGGCCGACUGACGUCUUGGAGGCAGAAGUGAGUACGUAACUGGCAACUGCUUAAAGUCGGCCGGGCCAAGGUUUACAGACCGGGAGGAUCACCAGACGCGGGUGGGGCACAGUGGGGUGGGGGGAGGUUCCCAAGGCCACUCAUCAAUGGAGUCUGGAGGUGGCUUCCUAGGGGUAGCCUCUGAAACGUUCUGGAAAAACCUCGUCCUGUCACAACGUGGCUAUGAGGGGACCCUCACCUGGAGGUCUUGGGUGAUGUGUUUGUUAGUUUCACAGCCACACAUCAGCAUGGGCCUGUGUCUCCCAGGCCACACGUCGGCAUGGGUCUGUGUCCCCCAACCCACGUGUCAGCAUGGGCCCGUGUCCCCCAACCCACGCUUCAGCACGGGGCAUGUCCCCCAGGCCACGCGUCGGCAUGGGCCAUGUCCCCACACAGGUGAGUCCCUGAUGCAGGUUGGGUCCCCGGGGAAGCUCACUCAGAGACAGAAGAGUGUUUAUUGGUGGCAGGGCAGGGCUCUUGGGUUUAGGGUCUGUGAAGGGAGAGAAGGAAGGCCAGUGGGGUAGAGGGAGUCGUCGGGCAGUGAUGCCCUAACCGCUGGUCCCCGGGGAAGCUCUGGAGCUGGCACCCCCCUUCAGGGUCGUCCCGAGUGGAGCCUGGGGCCAGGCCUUUAUCCACAGUGUGGGCCGCCACCGGGUGCAGGUGCCCAGGAGGGGGCGUGUUAUGGGUUGAAUUGUGUCCCUCCAAAAAGAUACGUUCAAGUCCCAAGCCCCGCUACCUGUGAAUGUGACAAAUCCACUGUAGAAACCAGCAUUCAGGUCUCAGCUCUGCACAACCACAACCAGCAUUCAGAUCUCAGUUCUGCACAACUGUGAUCACUAUUGAGAGCAGUGACUGUUACAUGGGUUUAGAGACACGUUGUGGGGAUUAUACGACCACGUAUUACUGUGCAAAAAGACGUCACUCAAGCCCAUUAGUGCAGAGAUUCCUUUAACUGUAGAGGAUUAAAUCAAGGAAUCAGAGAUUGUUUACGCUGGAAGGGACUUUGAGGUGUUCACUUAAUUGGAAAGCAGGUCAUCGUGGGCCCUCCAUGGGUGUUGGUAUCCACUGAAACUCCAAAUCCCAUCCAGGGGAGCUGACACAGGCACCAGGUGUAAGGCCCCACCCCAGCCGGGCUCCCCUCUGCGGGCAAGCCUGGGGCCUGGCUGGGAAGCCCAGCAUGGUGCGUGCGAAUGCUGUGGGGGGGGGCGCCCCAAACUCCCCCUCCAAGACAGAGGCACAGGCAUCGCCUCCCAGGACUCACCUGGAGGGGGCUGCCUGGCGUGAGCUCAUGCUCCUCCCGUGCCACCUGCUUUAGUGGCUGAUUGCUAUGCCAGGUAACGUCAGGGCCACCUGCCUGAUUCAGGCUGCUGUGCAGCCGCCCAGACUCAGAGCUGCCUGUGAGCCUGGCUGAGGCCUUUACUGCUCAUUCCCACUGCCCUCACCCCUGGCGGGGGCUGGUCUCCAGGGCACCCCCAUAAUCCACUUGCACCCAGAUCUCUGUCUCCGAGUGCACUCCAAACCCAGCCCCAGCGUGUGGACAAUGGCAUCCUCACAUGCUGGGGUAAUUGAUGGCUGUAUCUGCUCCGAGACGGCAGAGUGGGCUAGCUCCCAGCCCCAAGAAACGGCCCUCUGCGUCCUCCACACACACUCAGCAUAGGCUCAGCAGCCUGGAGAAGAAGAAAGCCGCUCUGCUCCGUGCUCUGGGUGCCCAGCCCUGUGAACAGCACGGGGUGUCCC
rnacentral:lncRNA from 1 species